rnacentral:rRNA from 1 species
GAUGAACGCUGGCGGUGUGCCUAAUACAUGCAAGUCGAGCGAACAGACGAUGAGCUUACUCCUCUGACGUUUGCGGCGGACGGGUGAGUAACACGUGGAUAACCUACCUAUAAGACUGGGAUAACUUCGGGAAACCGGAGCUUAUACCGGAUAACAUCUUGAACCGCAUGGUUCAACAGUGAAAGACGGUCUUGCUGUCACUUAUAGCUGGAUCCGCGUCGCAUUAGCUAGUUGGUAAGGUAACGGCUUACCAAGGCAACGAUGCGUAGCCGACCUGAGAGGGUGAUCGGCCACUCAGAAGGUGAGAGACGGUCCAGACACCUACGGGAGGCAGCAGUAGGGAACGGACGGAAAUGGGCGGAAGCCUGAAGGAGGAACGGCGCGUGGGUGAAGAAGGGCUGCGGAUCGGAAGACGCUGUUAUGGGGGAAGAACAAAUGUGUAUGUAACUAUGCGCGACUGAACGGAACGGGAAAAGAAGGCCCGGCCAACUACGGG